AAAGGGAGGAGCUCAGCGCGUACCUGCAGGCCCGCCCCACUCGAUGGGUCCCGGGCCUGUGAGGGAUGCCGCGUAUGGGAGGAAUCAAGGGUGAGCUGGCCCGACCUGAAGUAUGUACUGAAUGUCGUCUCACUGCCCAUAGAGGGUGUAAGGCCCGUAAGGUCGGCGUUCAGCGUCUCCCGCUGGUUCCUCUCGAGAGUCGGGUUGCUUGAAAAUGCAGCCCUAAGCAGGUGGUAAACUCCAUCUAAGGCUAAAUAUUCCCACGAGACCGAUAGCUUACAAGUACCGCGAGGGAAAGUUGAAAAGAACUCUGAAAAGAGAGUUCAAGAGAGCGUGAAACUACCACGAGGAUAAAGCGAGUGAGCGUUCGUAACCGAACGGCUGGACUCAGCCAGCCCCGGACGUUAGCGGCGGAGGGUCGCAAAACGAUGAACGGAUCUCCCGGGAUUCUUUUCGGAUCAUUUUCCGAGUUUUCCGGGUUGACCGGCGUUUCCUCUCGUACGCGCGGAAGGGGGAUGCACUUCUGGCCGAAGUAGGACGUCGCGGCCGUUCGAGGGGUGUCGAAGACACGGGGGUCUGGGAAACCGCCUCUUCCC
rnacentral:rRNA from 1 species